rnacentral:rRNA from 1 species
AGCAGCCGCGGUAAUUCCAGCUCCAAUAGCGUAUAUUAAAGUUGUUGCAGUUAAAAAGCUCGUAGUUGAAUUUCGGGAUUGACGCAUCGGUCGUGCCUUAAGGGGUAUGAACUGGUGUAGUCAAUUUCUCACCUUCUGGAGAACCGCGAUGCCCUUAAUUGGGUGUCACGGGGAACCAGGACCUUUACUUUGAAAAAAUUAGAGUGUUUAAAGCAGGCAUUUUGCUUGAAUACAUUAGCAUGGAAUAAUAAAAUAGGACGGCAUGAUUCUAUUUUGUUGGUUUCUAGGAUCACCGUAAUGAUUAAUAGGGAUAGUUGGGGGCAUUAGUAUUCAAUUGUCAGAGGUGAAAUUCUUGGAUUUAUUGAAGACUAACUACUGCGAAAGCAUUUGCCAAGGAUGUUUUCAUUAAUCAAGAACGAAAGUUAGGGGAUCGAAGACGAUCAGAUACCGUCGUAGUCUUAACCAUAAACUAUGCCGACUAGGAAUCAGACGAUGUUAAUUUUUUAAUGACUCGUUUGGCACCUUACG